CAUAUACUCCCUCCGUUCGGAAUUACUCGUUCAAAAAAUGAAUGUAUCUAGAUGUAUUUUAAUUGUAGAUACAUCCACUUUUAUGACAAGUAAUUUCGAACGGAGGGAGUAUGGG
rnacentral:pre_miRNA from 1 species